AAAGUUAGUGGCAAAAGGGUGAGUAACACGUAAGUAACCUGCCCCAAAGUACGGAAUAACUCUGAGAAAUUAGAGCUAAUACUGUAUGUGAUAGCGAGGGUAAUGCCUCGUUAUUAAAGUCUUCGGGCGCUUUGGGUGGGGCUUGUGUCCGAUUAGCUAGUUGGUAGGGUAAUGGCUUACCAAGGCUAUGAUCGGUAGCUGGUUUGAGAGGACGUACAGCCACACUGGGACUGAGACAAGGCCCAG
rnacentral:rRNA from 1 species